rnacentral:rRNA from 1 species
AAGGACUGGGCAAGACCGGUGCCAGCCGCCGCGGUAAUACCGGCAGUCCAAGUGAUGGCCGAUAUUAUUGGGCCUAAAGCGUCCGUAGCCGGCCGGACAAGUCCGUUGGGAAAUCGACGCGCUCAACGCGUCGGCGUCCAGCGGAAACUGUCCGGCUUGGGGCCGGAAGACCUGAGGGGUACGUCCGGGGUAGGAGUGAAAUCCUGUAAUCCUGGACGGACCACCAAUGGGGAAACCACCUCAGGAAGACGGACCCGACGGUGAGGGACGAAAGCUAGGGUCUCGAACCGGAUUAGAUACCCGGGUAGUCCUAGCUGUAAACGAUGCUCGCUAGGUGUGCCGUAGGCUACGAGCCUGCGCUGCGCCCUAGGGAAGCCGAGAAGCGAGCCGCCUGGGAAGUACGUCUGCAAGGAUGAAACUUAAAGGAAUUGGCGGGGGAGCACCACAACCGGAGGAGCCUGCGGUUUAAUUGGACUCAACGCCGGAAAUCUCACCGGUCCCGACAGUAGUAAUGNGAUGAAACUUAAAGGAAUUGGCGGGGGAGCACCACAACCGGAGGAGCCUGCGGUUUAAUUGGACUCAACGCCGGAAAUCUCACCGGUCCCGACAGUAGUAAUGACGGUCAGGUUGACGACUUUACCCGACGCUACUGAGAGGAGGUGCAUGGCCGCCGUCAGCUCGUACCGUGAGGCGUCCUGUUAAGUCAGGCAACGAGCGAGACCCGCACUUCUAGUUGCCAGCAAUACCCUUGAGGUAGUUGGGUACACUAGGAGGACUGCCGCUGCUAAAGCGGAGGAAGGAACGGGCAACGGUAGGUCAGUAUGCCCCGAAUGGACCGGGCAACACGCGGGCUACAAUGGCUCUGACAGUGGGAUGCAACGCCGAGAGGCGAAGCUAAUCUCCAAACGGAGUCGUAGUUCGGAUUGCGGGCUGAAACCCGCCCGCAUGAAGCUGGAUUCGGUAGUAAUCGCGUGUCAGAAGCGCGCGGUGAAUACGUCCCUGCUCCUUGCACACACCGCCCGUCAAAGCACCCGAGUGGGGUCCGGAUGAGGCC